GUCGAGCGCCCCGCAAGGGGAGCGGCAGACGGGUGAGUAACGCGUGGGAAUCUACCCAUCUCUACGGAACAACUCCGGGAAACUGGAGCUAAUACCGUAUACGUCCUUAUGGAGAAAGAUUUAUCGGAGAUGGAUGAGCCCGCGUUGGAUUAGCUAGUUGGUGGGGUAAUGGCCUACCAAGGCGACGAUCCAUAGCUGGUCUGAGAGGAUGAUCAGCCACACUGGGACUGAGACACGGCCCAGACUCCUACGGGAGGCAGCAGUCGGGAAUCUUGCACAAUGGGCGAAAGCCUGAUGCAGCAACGCCGUGUGAGCGAUGAAGGCCCUAGGGUCGUAAAGCUCUGUUGUUAGGGACGAAGGGCGAAGGGUUAAUAGCCCUUAGCCUGACGGUACCUAUCGAGGAAGCCCCGGCUAACUACGUGCCAGCAGCCGCGGUAAU
rnacentral:rRNA from 1 species